rnacentral:rRNA from 1 species
UGGCGACCGGCGCACGGGUGCGUAACGCGUAUGCAACCUACCUUUAACAGGGGGAUAACACUGAGAAAUUGGUACUAAUACCCCAUAAUAUCAUAGAAGGCAUCUUUUAUGGUUGAAAAUUCCGAUGGUUAGAGAUGGGCAUGCGUUGUAUUAGCUAGUUGGUGGGGUAACGGCUCACCAAGGCGACGAUACAUAGGGGGACUGAGAGGUUAACCCCCCACAUUGGAACUGAGACACGGUCCAA